GCGAGAGUGGCGGAACUGGCAGACGCGCGAGACUUAGGAUCUCGUGGGUAACCGUGGGGGUUCAAAUCCCUCCUCUCGCACCA
rnacentral:tRNA from 1 species